GAACUGAAACAUCUAAGUACCCGAAGGAAAGGACAUCAAUUGAGACUUCCCUAGUAGCGGCGAGCGAACGGGGAUUAGCCCUUAAGCUAAUUACAAGCGAGUGGAAUGUGCUGGAAAGCACAGCGAUACAAGGUGAUAGCCCUGUACACGACGGAUUCUUUACAGUGAAAUCGAGUAGGUCGGGACACGUGUUAUCUUGACUGAAUAUGGGGGGACCAUCCUCCAAGGCU
rnacentral:rRNA from 1 species